UUUCUGCGUGCUGGGAGGACUGCCAGAGCAGCUUAAUAAAUAAUAAUAAAAAUAGUCAUAGGUGACUUUGAGGCUAAGGACACUUGCAAGCAGCUCAUUUGUAAGCAUGAGAGGAGAAAUUGGUGCAGACCUCUCCAGGAAGCAAACGUUUGGCCAGCAAUAUAACUGACUUUCAGCUAUUGGCAAAGGGUAACUACCAUACAGAGUGCAACAUUCAGAGGACAGCAUGGCACAAGAUUGCCCUGCAUUUAGCAUUUGCAUCCUCCAAGACAGCCAAAAAAACAUCAAUAGCAGGG